rnacentral:rRNA from 1 species
CACACUAUCAUUACGUGAAUACAUAGCGUAAUGAAGCGAACCGGGGGAACUGAAACAUCUAAGUACCCCGAGGAAAAGAAAUCAACCGAGAUUCCCCCAGUAGCGGCGAGCGAACGGGGAGCAGCCCAGAGUCUGAAUCAGCUUGUGUGUUAGUGGAACGGUCUGGAAAGUCCGACGGUACAGGGUGAUAGUCCCGUACACCAAAAUGCACAGGUUGUGAACUCGAAGAGUAGGGCGGGACACGUGGUAUCCUGUCUGAAUAUGGGGGGACCAUCCUCCAAGGCUAAAUACUCCUGACUGACCGAUAGUGAACCAGUACCGUGAGGGAAAGGCGAAAAGAACCCCGGCGAGGGGAGUGAAAAAGAACCUGAAACCGUGUACGUACAAGCAGUGGGAGCCUCUUUAUGGGGUGACUGCGUACCUUUUGUAUAAUGGGUCAGCGACUUAUAUUCUGUAGCAAGGUUAACCGUAUAGGGGAGCCGAAGGGAAACCGAGUCUUAACUGGGCGUUAAGUUGCAGGGUAUAGACCCGAAACCCGGUGAUCUAGCCAUGGGCAGGUUGAAGGUUGGGUAACACUAACUGGAGGACCGAACCGACUAAUGUUGAAAAAUUAGCGGAUGACUUGUGGCUGGGGGUGAAAGGCCAAUCAAACCGGGAGAUAGCUGGUUCUCCCCGAAAGCUAUUUAGGUAGCGCCUCGUGAACUCAUCUUCGGGGGUAGAGCACUGUUUCGGCUAGGGGGUCAUCCCGACUUACCAACCCGAUGCAAACUGCGAAUACCGAAGAAUGUUAUCACGGGAGACACACGGCGGGUGCUAACGUCCGUCGUGAAGAGGGAAACAACCCAGACCGCCAGCUAAGGUCCCAAAGUCAUGGUUAAGUGGGAAACGAUGUGGGAAGGCACAGACAGCCAGGAUGUUGGCUUAGAAGCAGCCAUCAUUUAAAGAAAGCGUAAUAGCUCACUGGUCGAGUCGGCCUGCGCGGAAGAUGUAACGGGGCUAAACCAUGCACCGAAGCUGCGGCAGCGACACUAUGUGUUGUUGGGUAGGGGAGCGUUCUGUAAGCCGUUGAAGGUGUGCUGUGAGGCAUGCUGGAGGUAUCAGAAGUGCGAAUGCUGACAUAAGUAACGAUAAUGCGGGUGAAAAACCCGCACGCCGGAAGACCAAGGGUUCCUGUCCAACGUUAAUCGGGGCAGGGUGAGUCGACCCCUAAGGCGAGGCCGAAAGGCGUAGUCGAUGGGAAACAGGUUAAUAUUCCUGUACUUGGUGUUACUGCGAAGGGGGGACGGAGAAGGCUAUGUUAGCCGGGCGACGGUUGUCCCGGUUUAAGCAUGUAGGCGGAGGUUCCAGGUAAAUCCGGUACCUUUUUAACGCUGAGGUGUGAUGACGAGGCACUACGGUGCUGAAGUAACAAAUGCCCUGCUUCCAGGAAAAGCCUCUAAGCAUCAGGUAACACGAAAUCGUACCCCAAACCGACACAGGUGGUCAGGUAGAGAAUACCAAGGCGCUUGAGAGAACUCGGGUGAAGGAACUAGGCAAAAUGGUGCCGUAACUUCGGGAGAAGGCACGCUGAUAUGUAGGUGAAGCGGUUUACCCGUGGAGCUGAAAUCAGUCGAAGAUACCAGCUGGCUGCAACUGUUUAUUAAAAACACAGCACUGUGCAAACACGAAAGUGGACGUAUACGGUGUGACGCCUGCCCGGUGCCGGAAGGUUAAUUGAUGGGGUUAUCCGUAAGGAGAAGCUCUUGAUCGAAGCCCCGGUAAACGGCGGCCGUAACUAUAACGGUCCUAAGGUAGCGAAAUUCCUUGUCGGGUAAGUUCCGACCUGCACGAAUGGCGUAAUGAUGGCCAGGCUGUCUCCACCCGAGACUCAGUGAAAUUGAACUCGCUGUGAAGAUGCAGUGUACCCGCGGCAAGACGGAAAGACCCCGUGAACCUUUACUAUAGCUUGACACUGAACACUGGUCCUUGAUGUGUAGGAUAGGUGGGAGGCUUUGAAGUGUGGACGCCAGUCUGCAUGGAGCCAUCCUUGAAAUACCACCCUUUAAUGGCUGGUGUUCUAACGUGGACCCGUGAUCCGGGUUGCGGACAGUGUCUGGUGGGUAGUUUGACUGGGGCGGUCUCCUCCUAAAGAGUAACGGAGGAGCACGAAGGUUAGCUAAUCCUGGUCGGACAUCAGGAGGUUAGUGCAAAGGCAUAAGCUAGCUUGACUGCGAGAGUGACGGCUCGAGCAGGUGCGAAAGCAGGUCUUAGUGAUCCGGUGGUUCUGAAUGGAAGGGCCAUCGCUCAACGGAUAAAAGGUACUCCGGGGAUAACAGGCUGAUACCGCCCAAGAGUUCAUAUCGACGGCGGUGUUUGGCACCUCGAUGUCGGCUCAUCACAUCCUGGGGCUGAAGUAGGUCCCAAGGGUAUGGCUGUUCGCCAUUUAAAGUGGUACGCGAGCUGGGUUUAGAACGUCGUGAGACAGUUCGGUCCCUAUCUGCCGUGGGCGCUGGAGAAUUGAGGGGGGCUGCUCCUAGUACGAGAGGACCGGAGUGGACGCAUCACUGGUGUUCGGGUUGUCAUGCCAAUGGCAUUGCCCGGUAGCUAAAUGCGGAAGAGAUAAGUGCUGAAAGCAUCUAAGCACGAAACUUGCCCC